rnacentral:rRNA from 1 species
GCACGGAGUUAGCCGGUGCUUAUUCAUCUGGUACCGUCAAGUGGGAAAGAAUUCCCUUUUUUCGUCCCAAAUAAAAGAAGUUUACAAUCCAGAGGACCUUCAUCCUCCACGCGGCAUGGCUGGUUCAGACUUUCGUCCAUUGACCAAUAUUCCUUACUGCUGCCUCCCGUAGGAGUCGGGCCCGUGUCUCAGUGCCCGUGUGGCUGAUCAUGCUCUCACAUCAGCUACUGAUCGAAGGCUUGGUGGGCCGUUACCCCGCCAACUACCUAAUCAGCCGCACGCCCAUCAUCAGGUGCCGAAGCUUUAAUAAUAAGAUGAUGCCAUCUCAAAAUAUUAUGGGGUAUUAAUCCAAAUUUCUCUGGGCUAUUCCCCGCCUGAAGGAAGGUUGCGUACGUGUUACGCACCCGUUUGCCGGUCGCCAGCAAGUAUUGCUACUCCUGCUGCCCCACGACUUGCAUGUAUUAAGCCUGUCGCUAGCGUUCAUC